AGCAGUCGCCGCGGUAAUACGGAGGAUCCAAGCGUUAUCCGGAAUCAUUGGGUUUAAAGGGUCCGUAGGCGGUCUUGUAAGUCAGUGGUGAAAGCCCAUCGCUCAACGGUGGAACGGCCAUUGAUACUGCAGGACUUGAAUUAUUGGGAAGUAACUAGAAUAUGUAGUGUAGCGGUGAAAUGCUUAGAGAUUACAUGGAAUACCAAUUGCGAAGGCAGGUUACUACCAAUUGAUUGACGCUGAUGGACGAAAGCGUGGGUAGCGAACAGGAUUAGAUACCCGAGUAGUCCCUGUCUCUUAUAC
rnacentral:rRNA from 1 species